rnacentral:rRNA from 1 species
UACGUAGGGUGCGAGCGUUAAUCGGAAUUACUGGGCGUAAAGCGUGCGCAGGCGGCUUUGCAAGACAGAUGUGAAAUCCCCGGGCUUAACCUGGGAACUGCAUUUGUGACUGCAUAGCUAGAGUACGGUAGAGGGGGAUGGAAUUCCGCGUGUAGCAGUGAAAUGCGUAGAUAUGCGGAGGAACACCGAUGGCGAAGGCAGUCCCCUGGACCUGUACUGACGCUCAUGCACGAAAGCGUGGGGAGCAAACAGG